AUUGAACGCUGGCGGCAUGCCUUACACAUGCAAGUCGAACGGCAGCACGGGUGCUUGCACCUGGUGGCGAGUGGCGAACGGGUGAGUAAUACAUCGGUACAUUUCCUGUAGUGUUGGAUAGCCCGCCGAAAGCCGGAGUAAUACCGCAUACGAUCUACCUAUGACAUCGUGGGAGCUGCGAGCCUCGCGCUGUUGGGUUUGCAGAUGCCUGAUUAGCUAGUUGGUGGGGUAAAGGCCUACCAAGGCGACGAUCAGUAGCUGGUCUGAGAGGACGACCAGCCACCUGGGGACGGGGCCGCGGCCAAGGCUACUGAGGGAGGCACCAGUGGGGAAUUUUGGGCAACGGGGGAAAGCAUGAUCCAGCAAUGCCGCGUGUGUGAAGAAGGCCUUCGGGUUGUAAAGAACUUUUGUCCGGAAAGAAAUCCUUGGCCCUAAUACGGUCGGGGGAUGACGGUACCGGAAGAAUAAGCACCGGCUAACUACGUG
rnacentral:rRNA from 1 species